GAAUAUUGGACAAUGGGGGGAACCCUGAUCCAGCCAUCCCGCGUGUGUGAAGAAGGCCUUUUGGUUGUAAAGCACUUUAAGCGCGGGGGAGGAGCUCUAGGUUAAUACACGAUAUGCUUGGAGCUUAUUCCCUGAAUAAGCCCCGGCUCACUCUGUGCCAGCAGCCCCGGUAAUACAGAGGGUGCAAGGGUUAAUCGGAUUUACUGGGCGUAAAGCGCGCGUAGGUGGCCAAUUAAGUCAAAUGUGAAAUCCCCGAGCUUAACUUGGGAAUUGCAUUCGAUACUGGUUGGCUAGAGUAUGGGAGAGGAUGGUAGAAUUCCAGGUGUAGCGGUGAAAUGCGUAGAGAUCUGGAGGAAUACCGAUGGCGAAGGCAGCCAUCUGGCCUAAUACUGACACUGAGGUGCGAAAGCAUGGGGAGCAAACA
rnacentral:rRNA from 1 species